CACACAGGUGCUGCAUGGCUGUCGUCAGCUCGUGCCGUGAGGUGUUAGGUUAAGUCCUGCAACGAGCGCAACCCUCGUCGCUAGUUGUUUCUCUAGCGAUACUGCCCGUAUAACGUGGAGGAAGGUGGGGAUGACGUCAAGUCAGCAUGGCCCUUACAUCCUGGGCUACACACACGCUACAAUGGGUGAUACAACAGGUUGCGAUAGAGUAAUCUGGAGCCAAUCCCUAAAAUCAUCCUCAGUACGGAUUGCAGGCUGCAACUGCCUGCAUGAAGUUGGAGUUGCUAGUAAACGCAGGUCAGCACACUGCGUUGAAUACGUUCUCGGGCCUU
rnacentral:rRNA from 1 species